CAGAGUUGCAAAACUCCCUUACCACCAUCGUGAACAGACCCCGAAACAGUUGCUUCGGCGGGAGGCAGUCCCCCCUUCACCGGGGGCGGCCGGCCGCGACGCCCGCCGGAGGUACCCAAACUCUUUGUUUUAUAGGCCUCUCUGAGUCUUUGUACUGAAUAAGUCA
rnacentral:misc_RNA from 1 species